GAUGAACGCUGGCGGCGUGCCUAAUACAUGCAAGUCGAGCGAACAGACGAGGAGCUUGCUCCUCUGACGUUAGCGGCGGACGGGUGAGUAACACGUGGAUAACCUACCUAUAAGACUGGGAUAACUUCGGGAAACCGGAGCUAAUACCGGAUAAUAUAUUGAACCGCAUGGUUCAAUAGUGAAAGACGGUUUUGCUGUCACUUAUAGAUGUAUCCGCGCCGCAUUAGCUAGUUGGUAAGGUAACGGCUUACCAAGGCAACGAUGCGUAGCCGACCUGAGAGGGUGAUCGGCCACACUGGAACUGAGACACGGUCCAGACUCCUACGGGAGGCAGCAGUAGGGAAUCUUCCGCAAUGGGCGAAAGCCUGACGGAGCAACGCCGCGUGAGUGAUGAAGGUCUUCGGAUCGUAAAGCUCUGUUAUUAGGGAAGAACAAAUGUGUAAGUAACUAUGCACGUCUUGACGGUACCUAAUGAGAAAGCCACGGCUAACUACGUG
rnacentral:rRNA from 1 species